rnacentral:rRNA from 1 species
GCCAGCGAUGAUAGCACGAUGAAUACACCAGCUCCCAAGGGUUCUUUGAAGUUAAACAACAUUGUGCAUGGUUGGUAUCCAAAUGGGUGAACAUCUGGGCAAUUGCAUGGUGCUGGCU